rnacentral:rRNA from 1 species
GACGAACGCUGGCGGCGUGCUUAACACAUGCAAGUCGAACGGAAAGGCCCUGCUUUUGUGGGGUGCUCGAGUGGCGAACGGGUGAGUAACACGUGAGUAACCUGCCCUUGACUCUGGGAUAACUUCAGGAAACUGGGGCUAAUACCGGAUAGGAGCUCCUGCUGCAUGGUGGGGGUUGGAAAGGUUCGGCGGUUGGGGAUGGACUCGCGGCCUAUCAGCUUGUUGGUGGGGUAGUGGCUUACCAAGGCGUUGACGGGUAGCCGGCCUGAGAGGGUGACCGGCCACACUGGGACUGAGAUACGGCCCAGACUCCUACGGGAGGCAGCAGUGGGGAAUAUUGCACAAUGGGCGGAAGCCUGAUGCAGCAACGCCGCGUGCGGGAUGACGGCCUUCGGGUUGUAAACCGCUUUCGCCUGUGACGAAGCGAGAGUGACGGUAAUGGGUAAGGAAGCACCGGCUAACUACGUG